UUCACGUCGGAUUCGCCUCUCUUGGUCCUGGGCCGUCUCUGGACUGAAGGGGAUGUUGGCCAGACUAAAGAACGGUCACACGACAAACGUUCCAAAAGCAGAGUGUGACAUACUUCAUGUAACGAGGUAUUUAUUUACAUUUUCCCAGUGUUUUUCUUCUGCUGGCCGAAAAUGCCGUCCCCUGCAUUUGUCUGUUCAGGUGUGCCUCAUGAAGUGUUUAGUGCAGCUUCUACUACAAACCAUAACCUGUCCGUUAUAAUGUAUUUAUUUUGUGACGACGUUACAAACAAGCUCUCGGCUAGUCAGGAGCUGCGCACCUCCAACAUGGCCGCCGGAGGGCGCGUCGGCCAGCUGGUAGCAGCACAGUGAAAUGUGACUCCUCUCCAGUCCACGCUGAGAACAGCAGCAGCGGUGGUAGGCAGGCAAGCAGCAGAAGGCCCCCGGGCACCGAGGAGAACAAUGCGUUCGACAGUUAGCGCCGAGCGAACUGCCAACGUUCACCGUCCCUCCCCAAAAUAACACCGAUCAAAGGCCGCGCGGGUGGCCCAACAUUCGUGCGCCCCUAAAACCGACAGAUAGAGCCCAGUCUAGGCUUUUAAGCUAAAAACGAGCGCGGUUGAAAAAAAUGGUCACGCUGUGUUAGCUUGGCGAGUUAGCACCACAACCAUGGCUACUGCUUGUGUAAAAAUGUAAAAGACGCAACGCGAGCGUUUAUUGUCCAAAUGUCUCCACUUUAGUACAACGCAAAAUGUUUGCAAUACUGAACGUGACAUAAUAUUGUGGGAUGAACCGAAUUUGCUUGCAAAUAACGAGACUAUGGCGAACACGUAAACCACCACGUGCUCGUCUGCAAAUGCGAUGUAUCGAUUUCAUGUGCUUGAUUUACAUAUUAUGGGAGCGAAUGCCCUCUUAACGUGUCUCGUGGGUCAAAACUUGACCCGCCUGCUGUCAAACGACACGACAGGGGCGACUCGGUUUUGCGUCCGCUCGCACGGAAUGGCUGCAGCGCAGGUAGUGAUCCGCCACUUUGUACAACCUUGCUGCCAAACUAUCGCAUGCUAGCAGCUAACGGCUAACGCGCUAUGUGAAGUCGAGCUCGCAGCCCGCCGCCACAACACAACCACAACGUGCUUUUCGGAACGUACCUGCAUAGUCCCCCGAUAACAUCCUUCUCAGUCUUCUUGAAUUGCUGCAGGGUCGGUAUCUUCUCUGUCGGCAUCAUGAAAUAUUCCAUGCUUUCAAAGCCACCCACCAAAACGCGUGUUUUGCUCUCUCACCCUCCCACUUCUCUCUUUCGGGGAAAAAAAGAAAGAUCUGCGAAUCGCACACUUGCUGUUGUAUUUUCUAGCAGUCACGCGCAUGCAAGACGCGCGAUGAUGUAAAGGAACGGGUUGGAAAAACAAAAGUUGUAGCUGUCCACAGCUGAUGGGGUUCCCUCUAAUGCGUGUGUGCACGCGCGCGUGUGUGGCAUCUUGCCUCCGCCUACUACGUGUUUGUGUGUAUGGCUUUUGCCUCCGCCUACUGUGUCAUUGUGUACGUACGUGCGCGCGCGUGCGCGCAGCUGAUCCGCGCGAGGCGGGAAACAGCUGGUUGGAAUCAGCCUCCUUCCGGCAAGACAAACAAGACAGCGGAGAGCAGCGCACUGAGUGGUCGUGGAGGAAAACUAGUCAAAAGUCGCUCCUGGAUUUCACGUUGCACAAGGGGCAAACUUCCAUCCAUUGAUUAUGCAUGCAUGCAUGCAUGUAUGUAUGUGUGUGUGUGCGCGCGUGCAUGUAAGUAAAUUCAUAAAUAGAUAAUUAAAUGUGUUAACCAAGGCACCACAGUAAGACAAGUGGUUCGAACGUCUAAAUCUGAGUCCUGAGAUU